CCUUAAGUCUUUCAUUUUUACAGGACACCAUCUGAAAGACCCCCGAAGGGAGACCCUCACUCAAGCCUCGGGACGGCCGCGGACCCAAGAAGACACUGAGACCG
rnacentral:pre_miRNA from 7 species